rnacentral:rRNA from 1 species
CAGUAGCCGCGGGAAUACGAAGGGUGCAAGCGUUACUCGGAAUUACUGGGCGUAAAGCGUGCGUAGGUGGUGGUUUAAGUCCGUUGUGAAAGCCCUGGGCUCAACCUGGGAAUUGCAGUGGAUACUGGGUCACUAGAGUGUGGUAGAGGAUAGUGGAAUUUCCGGUGUAGCAGUGAAAUGCGUAGAGAUCGGAAGGAACAUCUGUGGCGAAGGCGACUAUCUGGGCCAACACUGACACUGAGGCACGAAAGCGUGGGGAGCAAACAGGAUUAGAUACCCCUGUAGUCCCUGUCUCUCACAU